GAGGCUCGCGAAGGACGACCCCGGGGCGAGGGAGACGCUCGCGAUGCUCGGGGUGAUUCCGCCUUUGGUCGGCAUGCUCGACUCAGAUGAUCCCGACCUCCAUAUCGCCGCACUCUACGCGCUUCUCAAUCUGGGGAUCGGCAACGAGUUGUAAGCCCCCUCUCAUUCUCUGAUCUGGGGUCGAAAUCUUACCUGCGGUCGCGAUUGCAGGAACAAGGCGGCCGUCGUGAAGGCCGGCGCGGUCCACAAGAUGCUAAAUCUGAUCGAGUCCGAUAGCUCCGCAUUGGUGUCGGAAGCGAUCGUCGCCAACUUCCUCGGCCUCAGCGCG
rnacentral:lncRNA from 1 species